rnacentral:rRNA from 1 species
UGGGGAAUUUUGGACAAUGGGCGAAAGCCUGAUCCAGCCAUGCCGCGUAAGUGAAGAAGGCCUUCGGGUUGUAAAGCUCUUUUAGUCGGAAAGAAAGAGUUGCAAUGAAUAAUUGUGAUUUAUGACGGUACCGACAGAAAAAGCACCGGCUAACUACGUGCCAGCAGCCGCGGUAAUACGUAGGGUGCGAGCGUUAAUCGGAAUUACUGGGCGUAAAGGGUGCGCAGGCGGUCUUGCAAGUCAGAUGUGAAAGCCCCGGGCUUAACCUGGGAAUUGCGUUUGAAACUACAAGGCUAGAGUGCAGCAGAGGGGAGUGGAAUUCCAUGUGUAGCAGUGAAAUGCGUAGAGAUGUGGAAGAACACCGAUGGCGAAGGCAGCUCCCUGGGUUGACACUGACGCUCAUGCACGAAAGCGUGGGGAGCAAACA